UACGGGGGGGGCAAGCGUUGUUCGGAAUUACUGGGCGUAAAGGGCUCGUAGGCGGCCAACUAAGUCGGACGUGAAAUCCCUCGGCUUAACCGGGGAACUGCUUCCGAUACUGGAUGGCUGGAGUGUGUGAGAGGGAUGCGGAAUUCCAGGUGUAGCGGUGAAAUGCGUAGAUAUCUGGAGGAACACCGGUGGCGAAGGCGGCAUCCUGGACCACGACUGACGCUGAGUGAGCGAAAGCCAGGGGAGCAAACGGG
rnacentral:rRNA from 1 species